rnacentral:rRNA from 1 species
AUUGAACGCUGGCGGCAGGCUUAACACAUGCAAGUCGAGCGGGGUGAUGGUGCUUGCACUAUCACUUAGCGGCGGACGGGUGAGUAAUGCUUAGGAAUCUGCCUAUUAGUGGGGGACAACAUCUCGAAAGGGAUGCUAAUACCGCAUACGUCCUACGGGAGAAAGCAGGGGAUCACUUGUGACCUUGCGCUAAUAGAUGAGCCUAAGUCGGAUUAGCUAGUUGGUGGGGUAAAGGCCUACCAAGGCGACGAUCUGUAGCGGGUCUGAGAGGAUGAUCCGCCACACUGGGGCUGAGACACGGCCCAGACUACUACGGGAGGCAGCAGUGGGGAAUAUUGGACAAUGGGGGGAACCCUGAUCCAGCCAGGCCGCGUGUGUGAAGAAGGCCUUAUGGUUGUAAAGCACUUUAAGCGAGGAGGAGGCUCUUUUGGUUAAUACCCAAGAUGAGUGGACGUUACUCGCAGAAUAAGCACCGGCUAACUCUGUGCCAGCAGCCGCGGUAA